AUUGAACGCUGGCGGCAUGCCUUACACAUGCAAGUCGAACGGCAGCGGGGGAGAAGCUUGCUUUUCCUGCCGGCGAGUGGCGAACGGGUGAGUAAUACAUCGGAACGUGCCCUGUAGUGGGGGAUAACUAGCCGAAAGAUUAGCUAAUACUGCAUACGACCUGAGGGUGAGAGUGGGGGACCGCAAGGCCUCAUGCUAUAGGAGCGGCCGAUGUCUGAUUAGCUAGUUGGUGGGGUAAAGGCCUACCAAGGCGAAGAUCAGUAGCUGGUCUGAGAGGACGAUAAGCCACACUGGGACUGAGACACGGCCCAGACUCCUACGGGAGGCGGCAUUGGGGAAUUUUGGACAAUGGGCGAAAGCCUGAUCCAGCAAUGCCGCGUUUGUGAAGAAGGCCUUCGGGUUGUAAAGCACUUUUGUCCGGAAAGAAAUGGUUAAGGUUAAUACCUGGGGUCGAUGACGGUACCGGAAGAAUAAGGACCGGCUAACUACGUGCCAGCAGCCGCGGUAA
rnacentral:rRNA from 1 species